rnacentral:piRNA from 1 species
UACCUGUUACAGGGUAUGGCUGUCACUC